AUUACACAGAGUGGUAGAUGGUUGUGUCGAAUAAGUGGAACAAAAAACUAACAAAGCUACAGAUAAAAAAUGUUAUAGUUGCUAUUUGAACUUUCGGGGACGGAAUCUUGGUCUUAUUGUGAGGAUAGCGAGACUUGAAUCAACACUAUAAUCUUCCUGAAAGAGAUUUUACCAGAACAAUUUACAUACGGCUCCCUGCUAUGUUUUGCCGGCUACACACGCCCAAGGUAAUGCAUCAAAGACUCGUUUAGCUUACAGCUUUGCCACCAGAUUUGGAGGAGAGAUAUUUUGUGGCACUACUGCCAGAUCCAAAUUCGUGCAAGUUAGCGACGUUCCGUAAUAGCAUUCACAUCCGAUGGGAAAAUCCGUAAGCACUGAGAAAGUAUCACAAAAUGUUUUGCGGAUACAGAGUACAGAACAAAAACCGCUACGACUUCAGUUACGACGUGCUGAUGUUUUUACUGCUAUCCAGAAAACCCUAUUGUGCGAGUAAGAUUAUACGAACCACAUGCCGCUUCUUCGUUAUGGUAGCCAUCGUUGUAUCGGUCCAUUUCAAUGGAGUGUUGCAGUUCUGCACUUGUCAAAUUGCCUUGAUCGUUGCCUUGCUUCAGGAAGUCAAUGAAGACGUUGCUGAUAUGACCUUAUAAAUACCAUCGCACCAAUCAAAAAAGCUGUAUGAUAAACCUAAAUUGCCGCGUGACAUUCCUGCAAAAACAUACUGCAUGAUAAAAUGCUUUCGUCAUGUCCGUUUGCGCAGUGCGCAAUUCCGUCGCAAAACAACCGCUGAUGCACGCAUGUCCCGGAAUCCAAUUCGGAAUCCUCACAUGACCUUUCUUGGGGGUGGCCGGUACACGGAACGGCUGUUGAUACAAAUACUGAAAAAUCGAAAUGUUAAAUUAUGUAUGCUAUAGCACGUUGCUUUAUUUUUUUUCUCGUAUGCGAAACAGAACUAAGGCAGGAAAGUUGAAAGGGGAGUUUUACGACGUUCGUUACGUAAUAUAUAAUUACCGCUAACAUGGGCCUU